rnacentral:rRNA from 1 species
CCAAAAAUAUAGCCUUACCCCUCCUCCCCCCUCUCUUUUUUUACCCUCCACCCCAAACCAAAAUAUUUUAACAACCUAGUAAAGAAGAUUAAAAAACUUUUAAGAGCAAUAAACACGUACCGCAAGGGAAAACUGAAAUAAAAAUGAAAUAGUUCUCAAGCACAAAAAAGUAGAGACCCGUCCUCGUACCUUUUGCAUCAUGGCUUAGCUAGUCUAAUUAGGCAAAAAGCCCCUUAAGUCUUCCCCCCCGAAACUAAGUGAGCUAUUUUAGGGCCGCUUAAUGAGCCCACCCAUCUAUGUUGCAAUAUAGUGGGGAGACCUUAAAAUAGAGGUGACAGACCUACCGAACUUAGUUAUAGCUGGUUUCUCAAGAAAAGAAUUUUAGUUCCGCCUAAAGUAACACACAUUUUCAUAAAUAACCCUUCCUAUACUUUAGAGCAACUCAAAUAAGGUACAGCCUAUUUGAUCAAGGAUACAACCUCUGCCAACGGGUAACACUUAACUCACACCUACAAGUAGGCCUAAAAGCAGCCACCUUUUAAAAAACGUCAAAGCUUAGCUGUGCACACCUUAAUCUCCCACCCUCUAUAGACCCCUUCAAUUGUACUGAGAACUUCUAUAACAAUAUAGAACCUUUUAUGCUAAGACUAGUAACAAGAGACAACCCCUCUCCAUAAUGCAAAUACAAGCCAGCAAGAACCCCCCACUGGCAACUAACAGACCUAAACUAAAGCAGUACCCCCCCCCGAAAACCCUACUUUUCCCCACUGUUAACCUUACACCAGAGCAUUUCAGGAAAGAUUUUUUAAAAAAGAAGGAACUCGGCAAACACUAGCCCCGCCUGUUUACCAAAAACAUCGCCUCUUGUCCCCAUAAGAGGUCCAGCCUGCCCAGUGACUCUUGUUCAACGGCCGCGGUAUCCUGACCGUGCGAAGGUAGCGUAAUCACUUGUUUUUUAAAUAAAGACCAGUAUGAAAGGCAUCACGAGGGCUAAGCUGUCUCCUUUUUUUGAUCAGUGAAUCUAAUCUCCCCGUGAAGAAGCGGGGAUUCUCAUAUAAGACGAGAAGACCCUAUGGAGCUUAAAACAUCAUAAUACCUGCCACCACAUUCUGCCUGCCCAAGCACUUCUUUCUCUUCUUAGCACACUAAUUAUAUGUUUUUGGUUGGGGCAACCGCGGAGAAAAACUCAUCCUCCACGAUGAAGGGGAAAAAAUCCCUAAACAAUGAGCCACAACUUUAUGUAUCAACAAAUUGACAUUUAUUGACCCGACACGUCGAUUAACGAACCAAGUUACCCUAGGGAUAACAGCGCAAUCCACUUUAAGAGCCCUUAUCGACAAGUGGGCUUACGACCUCGAUGUUGGAUCAGGGUACCCCAGUGGUGCAGCCGCUACUAAAGGUUCGUUUGUUCAACGAUUAAAACCC